AGCGAACGCUGGCGGCAGGCUUAACACAUGCAAGUCGAGCGGGCAUCCUUGUGGUGUCCGCGGCAGACGGGUGAGUAACGCGUGGGAACGUGCCCUUCGGUUCGGAAUAACUCAGGGAAACUUGAGCUAAUACCGGAUACGUGCGAGAGCAGAAAGGUUUAUCUGCCGAAGGAUCGGCCCGCGUCUGAUUAGCUAGUUGGUGAGGUUAUGGCUCACCAAGGCGACGAUCAGUAGCUGGUCUGAGAGGAUGAUCAGCCACACUGGGACUGAGACACGGCCCAGACUCCUACGGGAGGCAGCAGUGGGGAAUAUUGGACAAUGGGGGCAACCCUGAUCCAGCCAUGCCGCGUGAGUGAUGACGGCCUUAGGGUUGUAAAGCUCUUUUCUUCGGGACGAUAAUGACGGUACCGGAGGAAUAAGCCCCGCCUAACUUCGUG
rnacentral:rRNA from 1 species